UACGUAGGGUGCAAGCGUUGUCCGGAAUUAUUGGGCGUAAAGAGCUCGUAGGCGGUCUGUCGCGUCGGGAGUGAAAUCCACUGGCUUAACUGGUGGCUUGCUUUCGAUACGGGCAGACUGGAGGUAUGCAGGGGAGAACGGAAUUCCUGGUGUAGCGGUGAAAUGCGCAGAUAUCUGGAGGAACACCGGUGGCGAAGGCGGCAUCCUGGACCGGUAUUGACGCUGAGGCGCGAAAGCCAGGGGAGCAAAGCGGGA
rnacentral:rRNA from 1 species